rnacentral:rRNA from 1 species
UGUCUUGUAAUUGGAAUGAUGGGAAUUUAAACCUCUUCCAGAGUAUCAAUUGGAGGGCAAGUCUGGUGCCAGCAGCCGCGGUAAUUCCAGCUCCAAUAGCGUAUAUUAAAAUUGUUGCAGUUAAAAAGCUCGUAGUUGAAUUUCUGCUGCAUUGCUUUUGCUCCUUUACGAGUCUUUGCAUUGUGGCUUAUUUCGGACUUUGUUUUACAAUGUCCGGAUGUUUACUUUGAGAAAAUUAGAGUGCUCAAAGCAGGCUUUCGCCUUGAAUAGUUUAGCAUGGAAUAAUAAAGUAGGACUUUGGUUCUAUUUUGUUGGUUUUAGGUACCAAAGUAAUGGUUAAUAGGAACAGUUGGGGGCAUUCGUAUUUAACUGUCAGAGGUGAAAUUCUUAGAUUUGUUAAAGACGAACUACUGCGAAAGCAUUUGCCAAGGAUGUUUUCAUUAAUCAAGAACGAAAGUUAGGGGAUCGAAGACGAUCAGAUACCGUCGUAGUCCUAACCAUAAA